rnacentral:rRNA from 1 species
UUGGUCAGGAUGAACGCUGGCGGCGUGCCUAACACAUGCAAGUCGAACGGGUUAAGGGAAGUUUCGGAUGGAACUUAACUAGUGGCGGACGGGUGAGUAACGCGUGGAUAACCUGCCUCGCACUGGGGGAUAGCAGCUGGAAACGGCUGGUAAUACCGCAUAAGACCACGGUGCCGCAUGGCACUGGGGUAAAAGAUUUAUCGGUGCGAGAUGGAUCCGCGUCUGAUUAGCCAGUUGGCGGGGUAACGGCCCACCAAAGCGACGAUCAGUAGCCGGCCUGAGAGGGUGAACGGCCACAUUGGGACUGAGACACGGCCCAAACUCCUACGGGAGGCAGCAGUGGGGAAUAUUGCACAAUGGGCGCAAGCCUGAUGCAGCCAACGCCGCGUGAGUGAAGAAGUAUUUCGGUAUGUAAAGCUCUAUCGGCAGGGAAGAAAGGCCCGAAAGGGAGAUGACGGUACCUGACUAAGAAGCCCCGGCUAACUACGUGCCAGCCGCUGC